UGGGGAAUAUUGGACAAUGGGCGCAAGCCUGAUCCAGCCAUGCCGCGUGUGUGAAGAAGGCCUUUUGGUUGUAAAGCACUUUAAGCGAGGAGGAGGCUACUUGGAUUAAUACUCUAGGAUAGUGGACGUUACUCGCAGAAUAAGCACCGGCUAACUCUGUGCCAGCAGCCGCGGUAAUACAGAGGGUGCGAGCGUUAAUCGGAUUUACUGGGCGUAAAGCGUGCGUAGGCAGCUUCUUAAGUCGGAUGUGAAAUCCCUGAGCUUAACUUAGGAAUUGCAUUCGAUACUGGGAAGCUAGAGUAUGGGAGAGGAUGGUAGAAUUCCAGGUGUAGCGGUGAAAUGCGUAGAGAUCUGGAGGAAUACCGAUGGCGAAGGCAGCCAUCUGGCCUAAUACUGACGCUGAGGUACGAAAGCAUGGGGAGCAAACAGGA
rnacentral:rRNA from 1 species